GAUGAACGCUGGCGGCGUGCCUAAUACAUGCAAGUCGAGCGAACAGAUGAGGAGCUUGCUCCUCUGACGUUAGCGGCGGACGGGUGAGUAACACGUGGAUAACCUACCUAUAAGACUGGGAUAACUUCGGGAAUCCGGAGCUAAUACCGGAUAAUAUAUUGAACCGCAUGGUUCAAUAGUGAAAGACGGUUUUGCUGUCACUUAUAGAUGGAUCCGCGCCGCAUUAGCUAGUUGGUAAGGUAACGGCUUACCAAGGCAACGAUGCGUAGCCGACCUGAGAGGGUGAUCGGCCACACUGGAACUGAGACACGGUCCAGACUCCUACGGGAGGCAGCAGUAGGGAAUCUUCCGCAAUGGGCGAAAGCCUGACGGAGCAACGCCGCGUGAGUGAUGAAGGUCUUCGGAUCGUAAAACUCUGUUAUUAGGGAAGAACAAAUGUGUAAGUAACUAUGAACGUCUUGACGGUACCUAAUCAGAAAGCCACGGCUAACUACGUG
rnacentral:rRNA from 1 species